GCCGGCUGGGGGGGUCACUUAUCUUUAUCUCGUGUUAUCAGUGUCCGUGCGUGUAAUCGAGGCAGUGCCGUGUGUUAUGUGGCACUGUGGAUGUCCUGCAGUGCCAGUGGAGUCUACCACCACCACCACCACCACCGCCGGGGCACACCAUCACCGCCGGAUAGGCCGUGUGUGUAGAGGGAGGAAAACAGCGGUACUCACCCCGAGGAAGGAGGCGUAGUCCAGGCGGUACCAGCCACACAUGUCGAAGGCCAGGUGGUGCGACAGCCGCCCCAUCAGCUGGUGCACCUGCCGGACAGACCCGAGUCACCCCGCCACUCGUGCACUCACCCCCGACUCACGCAUUCAUCGCUCACUUACUGAUAUUCAUACCUAACAACUCAUGCGUCUUUGUGUCAAAACUUUGGAUUCGUGCAAAGAAAGGAGACAAAGUGUAAAAUGCUGUGAACAUGAUUGGAGCUGU